AACGAACGCUGGCGGCGUGUUUAAGACAUGCAAGUCGCACGGUGUCAUUUUGGUAGCAAUACUUGGAUGGCACAGUGGCGCGCGGGUGAGUAACACGUGAAUGACAUGCCCUGCAGAGGGGGAUAGCCCAGGGAAACUUGGAUUAAUACCCCAUGGUAUCGCGAGAUUAAAGGGUGGCCGCAAGGCUGCCGCUGCGGGAUUGGUUCGCGUUCUAUCAGCUUGUUGGCGGGGUAACGGCCCACCAAGGCUACGACGGAUACCUGGUCUGAGAGGACGAUCAGGCAAACUGGAACUGAGACACGGUCCAGACACCUACGGGUGGCAGCAGUCGAGAAUAAUUCACAAUGGGGGCAACCCUGAUGGUGCAACGCCGCGUGGAGGAUGAAGGUCUUCGGAUUGUAAACUCCUGUCAUCCGGGAGCAAGACCUGGGAGUUAACAGCUCACAGGGUUGAUAGUACCGGAAGAGGAAGGGACGGCUAACUUCGUGCCAGCCGCCGCGGUAAUAC
rnacentral:rRNA from 1 species